AUUGAACGCUGGCGGCAGGCUUAACACAUGCAAGUCGAGCGGAGCGAGGGUGCUUGCACCUUAGCUUAGCGGCGGACGGGUGAGUAAUGCUUAGGAAUCUGCCUAUUAGUGGGGGACAACAUUCCGAAAGGAAUGCUAAUACCGCAUACGCCCUACGGGGGAAAGCAGGGGAUCUUCGGACCUUGCGCUAAUAGAUGAGCCUAAGUCGGAUUAGCUAGUUGGUGGGGUAAAGGCCUACCAAGGCGACGAUCUGUAGCGGGUCUGAGAGGAUGAUCCGCCACACUGGGACUGAGACACGGCCCAGACUCCUACGGGAGGCAGCAGUGGGGAAUAUUGGACAAUGGGCGGAAGCCUGAUCCAGCCAUGCCGCGUGUGUGAAGAAGGCCUUUUGGUUGUAAAGCACUUUAAGCGAGGAGGAGGCUACUUUAGUUAAUACCUAGAGAUAGUGGACGUUACUCGCAGAAUAAGCACCGGCUAACUCUGUGCCAGCCGCCGCCGUAACAC
rnacentral:rRNA from 1 species